CGACCGGCGCACGGGUGAGUAACACGUAUCCAACCUGCCGUCUACUCUUGGACAGCCUUCUGAAAGGAAGAUUAAUACAAGAUGGCAUCAUGAGUCCGCAUGUUCACAUGAUUAAAGGUAUUCCGGUAGACGAUGGGGAUGCGUUCCAUUAGAUAGUAGGCGGGGGUAACGGGCCCACCUAGUCUUCGAUGGGUAGGGGUUCUGAGAGGAAGGGUCCCCCCACAUUGGAACUGAGACACGGUCCAAACUCCUACGGGAGGCAGCAUG
rnacentral:rRNA from 1 species